CCUACGGGAGGCAGCAGUGGGGCAUAUUGCACAAUGGGGGAAACCCUGAUGCAGCGACGCCGCGUGAGUGAAGAAGCGCCUCGGCGCGUAAAGCUCUGUCAGCAGGGACGAUAAUGACGGUACCUGAAGAAGAAGCCCCGGCUAACUACGUGCCAGCAGCCGCGGUAAUACGUAGGGGGCAAGCGUUAUCCGGAUUUACUGGGUGUAAAGGGAGCGUAGACGGCGGGGCAAGUCUGGAGUGAAAGGCCAGGGCCUAACCCUGGGACCGCUGUGGAAACUGGCCAGCUGGAGUGCGGGAGAGGUAAGCGGAAUGCCUAGGGUAGCGGUGAAAUGCGUAGAUAUUAGGAGGAACACCAGUGGCGAAGGCGGCUUACUGGACUGUGACUGACGUUGAGGCUCGAAAGCGUGGGGAGCAAACAGGAUUAGAUACCCUUGUAGUC
rnacentral:rRNA from 1 species